rnacentral:rRNA from 1 species
CAGCCGCCGCGGUAAUACGUAGGCAGCAAGCGUUGUUCGGAGUUACUGGGCGUAAAGGGUGCGUAGGCGGUCCUAUAAGUAUGGUGUGAAAUCUCCCGGCUUAACUGGGAGGGUGCGCUAUAGACUGUGGGACUAGAGUGUGGGAGAGGAAAGUGGAAUUCCUGGUGUAGCGGUGAAAUUCGUAGAUAUUCGGAAGAACACCAGUGGCGAAGGCGACAUACUGGUCCAUUACUGACGCUGAGGCUCGAAAGCGUGGGGAGCAAACAGGAUUAGAUACCCGGGUAGUCCCUGUCUCUUAUAC